CCUUCCUUUUCCUUUUAACUCCCCCUGUUCGUGCGACACCACAACAUAAGCCCCCCUGUUUGCCUGGCUCCCUUUUAACCCCCUAGUUGUGCUAACGAUGUUGCUAAUGGCCCCCUUUGAGUUGAUUAGCUCUACAUUAAGAAAAUAAUAGCACAGUCUAGUCUAAUUAUUUUCUGAAAUGACAAAACUGCACUCCCUCAUCUAGUAUAAGUCACACGAGCUGGGCAGAAGCUGCUCCCGUUCUCUACUCGUUCCCCUCCC
rnacentral:lncRNA from 1 species